CCUUCCCCUGCAAGUGUGAGAUAAAAGCUCAGCUCCAGUCGUGCUCUGACUUAUCAGGACUCAUCAAUUGCAGCUUCUGAAAAUGGGGUUCCCUGCUCAGCUCUUGGGCCUCCUCAUGCUCUGGGUCCCAGGAUCCAGUGGGGAUAUUGUGCUGACCCAGACUCCACUCUCCCUGUCUGUCAUCCCUGGAGACCCGGCCUCCAUCUCCUGCAGAUCCAGUCAGAGCCUCCAAGAUAGUGACGGAGACACUUACUUGAAUUGGUACCUGCAGAAACCAGGCCAGUCUCCACAGCUUCUGAUCUAUGGAGCUUCCAACCGGGCCUCUGGGGUCCCAGACAGGUUCACUGGCAGUGGGUCAGGGACAGAUUUCACACUAAAAAUCAGCAGGGUGGAGGCUGAGGACGCUGGAGUUUAUUACUGCCAGCAAGACAUGGAAGAUCCGCCCACAGUGGUACAGCCCUGAACACAAACACCCCUCUCCGAGUGGCCCAGCUGCCCACAUAUGUUGACUGUCUGGGGAGCAGGCAGGCAGAUUCUCUGAGUCAGUGUAAGAGGAAGAUGUUAGAGAAUCAGGGGAGUAGUUUGAAGCUGAGUCCUCUGGACCAUGAAAGCCUCCUCUACUCCUCAGACAUCACAGGUUAAGGCCCCAUCAGCUGCAGAGCCUUCCCUGACAGAACCAGCAGGAGAAUGGAAGGGUCUAAGUGCCCUCUGAGCAAACAGACCUGAGGAAGGAGAGGUGAGUGAAAGCGCAUCCGACUUCUCCCUCCCUCAGGUACAGGUAGGUGUCAAAUAAAUGUAGUCAGUGUAACAGGUGGACAACUGAGGCAGAUUUAUAGCAACAUAAUGGGUUUAGCAGUUUUUGAUAUAUUUUUUAAGAUAACAUGUCAUAAUAUUCAAGAAUAUUUUUCCCCACUUUCCCCACUUUCUGAUUCUCCCUUUUACUACAUAUCUUCCUACCUGUUUACCAUGUUCUAGACAGCAGUCUACACAGCUGUCCCCAGGGGGAGUUAGCUGAGAACAUCAAUAAGACUUUGGGGUUAUGAGUGUCUAAAUAGUCAAUUGUAAGUCCAUAGUCCCUACAAUAUCCUAAUGCUAAACAUAUCUGAUUUGUCUCAAUUACCUUUCACAGAAAGAAAAUGUGAGAUAUUAAAAUUCCAAAAGUACGGAUUAAAAAAUAAAUAAACUGUAGGGCAUAGAAUUUACCCUGUAGAACACUGGAAGAAUACAGAAUGAUAUGAGGGGAUUUUUUUCCACAAAAGUUAAGAAUUUUAAAGUGCGGGAAGACUGCAGGAAUGGAAACACGAAGAGAAUC